rnacentral:rRNA from 1 species
GUCUGACGGAGCACGCCGCGUGAGUGAUGAAGGUUUUCGGAUCGUAAAGCUCUGUUGUUAGGGAAGAACAAGUACCGUUCGAAUAGGGCGGUACCUUGACGGUACCUAACCAGAAAGCCACGGCUAACUACGUGCCAGCAGCCGCGGUAAUACGUAGGUGGCAAGCGUUGUCCGGAAUUAUUGGGCGUAAAGGGCUCGCAGGCGGUUUCUUAAGUCUGAUGUGAAAGCCCCCGGCUCAACCGGG